rnacentral:RNase_P_RNA from 1 species
CGAGACGGCCGGACGGUCGCGUGCCACACCGGGGAGACCCCAGACCGGCACGAGGAAAGUCCGAGCUCCGCGACGCAGGGUAGCGGGUAACUCCCGUCCGCCGAGAGGCGAGGACCAGCGCCACAGUGACGAACCGGCAGGUCGGCUUCGGUCGGCCGGGCCGGGUGAAACGGGCAAGCUCUACCUGGUGCAAGGCCAAAUAGGAGGGCCCCCGGGGCGUCCGCAAGGACGCCGCGGAAGGGGUGCGUCGCCCCGCCCUCGGGUCGGCCGCUAGAGGCGAUGGGCGACCGUCGACCGUAGAUGGAUGACCGUCCCCGUGGUUUCGACCACGGGACAGAACUCGGCUUACAGGCCGUCUCGCUGA